UAAGCUAUAGUUUAUUAAAAAUAUAUGAUUUGCACUCAUCAGUAGUUCUAUUAGAACUUGCUUCA
rnacentral:tRNA from 1 species